rnacentral:rRNA from 1 species
AGAGUUUGAUCAUGGCUCAGAUUGAACGCUGGCGGCAUGCUUUACACAUGCAAGUCGAACGGCAGCGCGGGGGCAACCCUGGCGGCGAGUGGCGAACGGGUGAGUAAUGCAUCGGAACGUAUCCUGUAAUGGGGGAUAACGUAGCGAAAGUUACGCUAAUACCGCAUACGCUCGAGAGAGGAAAGUGGGGGAUCGCGAGACCUCACGUUAUAGGAGCGGCCGAUGUCCGAUUAGCUAGUUGGUGGGGUAAAGGCCUACCAAGGCGACGAUCGGUAGCUGGUCUGAGAGGAUGAUCAGCCACACUGGGACUGAGACACGGCCCAGACUCCUACGGGAGGCAGCAGUGGGGAAUUUUGGACAAUGGGCGAAAGCCUGAUCCAGCCAUGCCGCGUGCGGGAAGAAGGCCUUCGGGUUGUAAACCGCUUUAGUCCGGGAAAAAGGGGUGCGAGGAUAAUACCCUUGUGCUUUGAUGGUACUGGAAGAAUAAGCACCGGCUAACUACGUG